rnacentral:siRNA from 1 species
CUUAGAAAAGGAAACGUGGUU